CCUACGGGAGGCUGCAGUGAGGAAUAUUGGUCAAUGGACGAGAGUCUGAACCAGCCAAGUAGCGUGAAGGAUGACUGCCCUAUGGGUUGUAAACUUCUUUUAUAUGGGAAUAAAAUGUUCCACGUGUGGGAUUUUGUAUGUACCAUAUGAAUAAGGAUCGGCUAACUCCGUGCCAGCAGCCGCGGUAAUACGGAGGAUCCGAGCGUUAUCCGGAUUUAUUGGGUUUAAAGGGAGCGUAGGUGGAUUGUUAAGUCAGUUGUGAAAGUUUGCGGCUCAACCGUAAAAUUGCAGUUGAAACUGGCAGUCUUGAGUGCAGUAGAGGUGGGCGGAAUUCGUGGUGUAGCGGUGAAAUGCUUAGAUAUAACGAAGAACUCCGAUUGCGAAGGCAGUUCACUGGACUGCAACUGACGCUGAGGCUCGAAAGUGUGGGUAUCAAACAGGAUUAGAUACCCGAGUAGUC
rnacentral:rRNA from 1 species